CAAGACGAUAGCAUCAGAACGUCUCCGACUUGGUGGAGAUUCAUCAGUUGCGCCUACAUUCCCAAUGCUAGAGACAAACGCAUCAGAUAACGCUGAUGAAACCUCUAGAAAAACUCUACGCAAAAGGGGAAGAAAGACAGCUUCCAAGGUUCUCUUCCAAGUGCCUUUUUCUUUUCAACCUCCUGAAUUUUGUUUGAAGGAAAACAUCAACCUGGACAUAGUAUUAUUAAAUCGAUUCAAGAAUGAAUCAAGUUGGGGGAACCACGUUCCCAAAUUUUCUAUAGAAGAAAGAUUAAAAAAUUGGGUCAUCGAAAAAAGGGAACGCAUGCAAAGCAAGGACAAAGAAAAACCUAACGCUAAAAUGCAAGAUUAUGUAAGACUGGAUUUUCAAUAAUUUUAGUAGUUAAUA